CCAAACUUGGUCAUUUAGAGGAAGUAAAAGUCGUAACAAGGUUUCCGUAGGUGAACCUGCGGAAGGAUCAUUACCGAGUGCCCGCCCCUCGAGGGCGGACCUCCCACCCUUGCUUUACUACCAAUGUUGCUUUGGCAGGCCGCCGUGGAACUUCCGCGGCCCCUAGAUUCUCUGGGGAGUGCCUGCCAGAGACCCCAUAACCCAACCAUUAUAUCGUGUCGUCUGAGAAAUUACACAAUCGUGAAAACUUUCAACAACGGAUCUCUUGGCUCUGGCAUCGAUGAAGAACGCAGC
rnacentral:misc_RNA from 1 species